rnacentral:rRNA from 1 species
UACAGAGGGUGCGAGCGUUGUUCGGAAUUAUUGGGCGUAAAGGGCGCGUAGGCGGUGCGGUAAGUCACCUGUGAAAUCUCCUGGCUCAACUGGGAGUCUGCAGGCGAAACUGCCGUGCUGGAGUGUGGGAGAGGUGAGUGGAAUUCCCGGUGUAGCGGUGAAAUGCGCAGAUAUCAGGAGGAACACCGAUGGCGAAGGCAGGUCUCUGGGCCGAUACUGACGCUGAGGAGCGAAAGCGUGGGGAGCGAACAGG